rnacentral:rRNA from 1 species
AUUGAACGCUGGCGGAAUGCUUUACACAUGCAAGUCGAGCGGCAGCGCGGGGGCAACCCUGGUGGCGAGUGGCGGACGGGUGAGUAAUACAUCGGAACGUGCCCUGGAGUGGGGGAUAACGUAGCGAAAGUUACGCUAAUACCGCAUAUUCUGUGAGCAGGAAAGCAGGGGAUCGCAAGACCUUGCGCUCUGGGAGCGGCCGAUGUCGGAUUAGCUAGUUGGUGGGGUAAAGGCCUACCAAGGCGACGAUCCGUAGCGGGUCUGAGAGGAUGAUCCGCCACACUGGGACUGAGACACGGCCCAGACUCCUACGGGAGGCAGCAGUGGGGAAUUUUGGACAAUGGGCGAAAGCCUGAUCCAGCCAUGCCGCGUGAGUGAAGAAGGCC